CCUACGGGAGGCAGCAGUAGGGAAUAUUGCUCAAUGGGGGAAACCCUGAAGCAGCAACGCCGCGUGGAGGAUGAAGGCUUUCGGAUUGUAAACUUCUUUUGUUAGAGAAGAGAAUGACGCUAUCUAACGCAUAUGCACCGGCUAACACUGGGCCAGCAGCCGCGGUAAUAUGGAGGGUGCAAGCGUUAUUCGGAGUCACUGGGCGUAAAGAGGGCGUAGACGGGUUAGCAAGUCAGAUGUGAAAUCCUGUGGCUUAACCAUAGAACUGCAUUUGAAACUGUGCUUCUAGAGUACAGGAGAGGCAGGUGGAAUUCUUGGUGUAGCGGUGAAAUGCGUAGAUAUCAGGAGGAAUACUGAUUGCGAAGGCGGCCUGCUAGACAGUAACUGACGUUGAGGCGCGAAAGCGUGGGGAGCAAACAGGAUUAGAUACCCGAGUAGUC
rnacentral:rRNA from 1 species